GCGUCCGAUUAGCUAGUUGGUGGGGUAACUGCCUACCAAGGCGACGAUCGGUAGCUGGUCUGAGAGGAUGAUCAGCCACAUUGGGACUGAGACACGGCCCAAACUCCUACGGGAGGCAGCAGUGGGGAAUAUUGGACAAUGGGCGAAAGCCUGAUCCAGCAAUGCCGCGUGCGGGAAGAAGGCCUUCGGGUUGUAAACCGCUUUUGGCAGGAACGAAACAGUACGAGCUAAUACUUCGUACGAAUGACGGUACCUGCAGAAUAAGCACCGGCUAACUACGUGCCAGCAGCCGCGGUAAUACGUAGGGUGCAAGCGUUGUCCGGAAUCAUUGGGCGUAAAGAGCGUGUAGGCGGCUCGAUCAGUCUGCUGUAAAAGUCCAGGGCUCAACCCUGGGAUGCCGGUGGAUACUGUCGGGCUAGAGUCCGGAAGAGGCGAGUGGAAUUCCUGGUGUAGCGGUGAAAUGCGCAGAUAUCANGAGGAACACCAAUGGCGAAGCAUCUCGCUGGGACGGUACUGACGCUGAGACGCGAAAGCGUGGGGAGCAAACAGGAUUAGAUACCCUGGGUAGUCCACGCCGUAAACGAUGGGCACUAGGUGUGGGAGGUGUCGACUCCUUCCGUGCCGCACCUAACGCAUUAAGUGCCCCGCCUGGGGAGUACGGCCGCAAGGCUAAA
rnacentral:rRNA from 1 species